UACGAAGGGGGCUAGCGUUGCUCGGAAUUACUGGGCGUAAAGGGCGCGUAGGCGGCCCGCUAAGUCGAACGUGAAAUCCCCAGGCUCAACCUGGGAACUGCGUCCGAUACUGGCAGGCUUGAAUCCGGGAGAGGGAUGUGGAAUUCCAGGUGUAGCGGUGAAAUGCGCAGAUAUCAGGAGGAACACCGGUGGCGAAGGCGGGUCUCUGGGCCGAUACUGACGCUGAGGAGCGAAAGCGUGGGGAGCGAACAGG
rnacentral:rRNA from 1 species